GCUAUUAAUCUACGGCCUGGCGCUGGAGAAAUUAUCAUUUCGAUCUCUACCGUACCGCUACUACCCACUGAACUCUUGGAUCAUCGGCCGCACCGCAUGUAUGAAACCCUUACUUCUUCGUUUCUUCUCUCCCAAGCGCGCUCGAAACCCUCUUCGCCUCCCUCCUCCAUUUCGCCCAAAACCCUCGCCUUCAAUGAACAUUGACCUAGUUGGGAAGACAACAUCGGGAUCGAGCCUUGCAAUCGACUUUUGAUCAAGUUGGGAAGACAACGAGGGGCUCGCGGCUUACAGAGACCACCGAAACUCUCGGCUUUCUCAUCUUUAUGCUCCGCUCUUAUCAGCCGCCAUUCGAGCUAGCUGGGAAGGUAAGGGCGGGAUCGCGACAAACAGAGACCACCGAAACUCUCAUCUUUCUCAUCGUUCUGCUCUGCUCCUACUUGUAACCAGCUGAAACCAGUGAGGAAGAUGUUGACUAGAGGUGAGGACAAUCUUCCUUCUCGCUUGGGGGGAGUACAACAUCGGUCGAAGAAAGCCUUCAGGAGAGGCUGCCCGCUCUCAAUCCUCACUCCCACCCUCACCCCAAUCUCUCUGAUCCAUACCCCCACCCUGACCCCCACCCCUAGCGCACCCGCACUUUCACCUCCACCCCUACCUCCACCUCGACUGCAGUGCAGAUGAGUACGGUGGAGGCCCACACUUCAUCUAAUGGGCGGGAGGACAGGUGGCAGUUAUCGCAUUAAUCCUAGCGGAAACACAUUUAUUUUAAUAUAUUGACGGGACAUCAUCCAGAGCAAGUACGACUUAGCGUAAUUGUCCUAGAAGGAGAUUCCGAUGGCAAUUCAAGAUCUUUGAUUCUAGGAGUUUGUGCAUGAAGCACACACACAACGCAACUUCGAGCGCAAGGGCAACGAUCGUCUAAAGGACAUGUUUAGUGAUAUUUGGAGAUGAUUCUUUUGCCUCGCUACUCAGUGCUUGAGAUUCUCCGGAGUACCGAAGGAAGAGGGAGCAGGCAAAGCAAAACUGACGCUCGAAGUGCGAAGAUAUGGGAGCCUCCAUGCACAUUGGUGGGGCACUCCCACACAUAGAAUAUAAGUGGAGGAUGACUAUGUAGUUGGGACGAAAGCCUUCUGUUGUCGAUGUACACUGGUACACCCAUAUGAGGCAGUCGAAACAGUCGUGGAUCAAUGACGGAUUCCGUGCGAUUCAAAUAAUUCAGGAGCAAAACUAGUUUGAUGUUUGCUCGCGCUAGGUUUAAUUGUACAUAACUAUUUAUUUUUGCAUGAGAUAGUCCAACAGCUGAAUGAGAGUCUAUCCCAGGCUUCGAGCGAUAUUACGAUCUGAGAUCAUGAUUUGUCUGAGUACAACGUAUGGAGGGAGGUAGCGUGAGGGAAAAAUAAGGGUUGAGUCUACGGGCUCAGGCUCAGGCAUUUGCCUGCAAUACUCGCCCCUUCGCUAGUGCAUCUGUGGCUUUUACUUCUACCAUACAAGAGGAGGAUGUCUCCAGGUGUAGUGCCACAUUCGCUGCCGAGAUGGAGGCCUACUUCGAUCAUAUGAGGUCGUAGCUAGAGGCCAAUAUGGAGGCCAAGUUAGAUGUGUUCCGACAGCAGGCAAAGCAACACAGGAAGCUACCAUUAGAGAAGGAGGAGGAUGAUGAUGAUGACAAGAUAGAGGGGAAUUAGAGGGGAUUUUUUUUAUCUUAUUUGAAUAUGAUUUUGUUGAACAUUGGAGUAGAUUUUUUCUUAUUGAACGGUGGUAUAUAUAUGUUAAAUUAAAUGUAUUUUGUUUAUUUCGUUGUUUGAUUGGAUAAUUUA